rnacentral:rRNA from 1 species
UACCGAGGGUGCAAGCGUUAAUCGGAAUUACUGGGCGUAAAGCGUGCGUAGACGGUUGCGUAAGUCAGAUGUGAAAGCCCCGGGCUCAACCUGGGAAUUGCAUUUGAGACUGCGUAGCUAGGGUGCGGAAGAGGGAAGCGGAAUUUCCGGUGUAGCGGUGAAAUGCGUAGAUAUCGGAAGGAACACCAGUGGCGAAAGCGGCUUCCUGGUCCAGCACCGACGUUCAGGCACGAAAGCGUGGGGAGCAAACAGG